rnacentral:lncRNA from 1 species
UGAUGCUGGUCAUUGCGUUCUUCAACUGGGAUGUUGCAAAUUAGAAACUGAGGGAGAGCUGACCUUUCCUGCAUAUGAAAGAAGAGAGUGGAGGGGCAGAGAUACAGAAUGGGGAAGAACAAGUUGGAACCAGAAAACUGAUUUCAGGGUCUGGCACUUGAAUGUCUGAUUUUGGAGAAAGAGAAGACACUGGUCGGCCCUUUCUUCAAAUAAGAGCAGU